UUUAAACAUGCUCAAACAAACUACAAUGUCCAUGAGAAUUAAUUCCUGAACUAUAUAACUUACAUGAAAAGAGCAGACAAAAUAAUCAGUGUUCCGGAAAACUAGAUGAACAUUCAAUUCCUGGUGAUUGCUCUCAAAUGUUCUUUUCCAGAAAACUUCAAUUGCGCGAGCUAACUUGCAUAAGUACGUACCACAACAAUCUCAAGAGAACAAUGAACAUCCAAAUACCUCAAAUAGCAUAUUAACAUGUCUGUAUAAUGGGGAGGUAUGGAUACAGUAGCAGGAAGACAUAAGCAUGAGGAACUCUCAAAGGCCUGCCAAUUCUAGUCUCAACGGGAAAGACAUCCAACAGAAAGCAAAAUUGUCUAAGCUAUGAAGCAUUCACUCAAUUACUUUUCUCAUAUAUCAACUUGUUAAAAUCUAUGCCAAUGUUUCCAAACUCUGUUUUAUGCCUUUCAAAUCUGGAACCCGAGGUCAAGUGAAUCAUGAGGCUGAAAUUCUAAAGAGCCUUAAGCAAGUGAACAAAUCUCAAGAGCAACCAAAUCAAGGAGAGCCAAGAGUGCAAAAUUUACACUAAAAAAACUGUGCGAAUUUGCUGCUUAAACCAUGCAAGCAGGGCAGAUUAACCAAAUUUAACAAGUUUCAGAACAACUGCUGAAAUCAACUAUCAGAAUAGUAACUAUGAAGACUUGACAUUUUAAUCUUCAUGUGAGACGAUGAAACAACGAAACAAGGAAUCAGAAAUACAUCUUUUGCAUCAAAAUACACCCGAAAAGAUCAAACAAAACGACUACUAAAACUAUGAUAAAUAGAACGAAGUUGAGUGACCAAGCAUUACUGCGACACCCCAAACAAAUUUUACCCAUUUCUGUUUUUGAUUUUUGAAAAGGAGGUCGACCAAAAAUUGAAAAGUCUCACAUAAAGAACUGAAGAUCCCUAAAGAUUUUCGCUAAUCUUCUUAAAUUUCCCCCA
rnacentral:lncRNA from 1 species